rnacentral:rRNA from 1 species
GAUGUAGUCAUAUGCUUGUCUCAAAGAUUAAGCCAUGCAUGUCUAAGUAUGAACGAUACAUACAGUGAAACUGCGAACGGCUCAUUAAAUCAGUUAUAAUCUACUUGAGUCUUCCUCCUUAUUUGGAUAACCGUAGUAAUUCUAGGGCUAAUACAUGCAACCAACCCCGACUUUUGUGGAAGGGGUGCAAUUAUUAGAUCUAAACCCAAUGAGGGGAUCCUCCCCUCUUUAGGUGAAUCAUAGUAAUUUCUGCGAAUCGCAUGACCUUCGCGUCGGCGAUGCUUCAUCCGAAUUUCUGCCCUAUCAACUAGGAUGGUAGUGUAGUGGACUACCAUGGUGAUAACGGGUAACGGGGAAUUAGGGUUCGAUUCCGGAGAGGGAGCUUGAGAGAUGGCUACCACUUCCAAGGAAGGCAGCAGGCGCGCAAAUUACCCAAUGCUAAUACAGUGAGGUAGUGACAAUACAUAACAAUACAGGGGUUGUUAAAACUCUUGUAAUUGGAAUGAGUACAAUUUAAAUCCCUUCACGAGGACCCAUUGGAGGGCAAG